CCUACGGGAGGCAGCAGUCGAGAAUCAUUCACAAUGGGGGAAACCCUGAUGGUGCGACGCCGCGUGGGGGAAUGAAGGUCUUCGGAUUGUAAACCCCUUUCAUGUGGGAGCAAAUUAAAAAGAUAGUACCACAAGAGGAAGAGACGGCUAACUCUGUGCCAGCAGCCGCGGUAAUACAGAGGUCUCAAGCGUUGUUCGGAAUCACUGGGCGUAAGGCGUGCGUAGGCUGUUUCGUGAGUCGUGUGUGAAAGGCGCGGGCUCAACCCGCGGACGGCACAUGAUACUGCGAGACUAGAGUAAUGGAGGGGGAACCGGAAUUCUCGGUGUAGCAGUGAAAUGCGUAGAUAUCGAGAGGAACACUCGUGGCGAAGGCGGGUUCCUGGACAUUAACUGACGCUGAGGCACGAAGGCCAGGGGAGCGAAAGGGAUUAGAUACCCUAGUAGUC
rnacentral:rRNA from 1 species